GGCAUGGUAGUGCAGUGGUUAGCACUGUUGCCUCACAGCAAGAAGAUUGUGGGUUUGAAUUCAGCCUGGGGCC